AUAAACGGGGGAGCCGGUGUGCUGGCUGAGAGUAAGUAAUCAACUUUGACCCUUUAUACCUGACUUGGAUAAUGCCAGCGUAGGGAGUUUAAUAUUC
rnacentral:ncRNA from 1 species